rnacentral:rRNA from 1 species
UACGGAGGGUGCGAGCGUUAAUCGGAAUUACUGGGCGUAAAGCGCACGCAGGCGGCUUGUUAAGCUAGAGGUGAAAGCCCCGCGCUCAACGUGGGAACUGCCUUUAGAACUGGCAGGCUAGAGUCUUUGGAGAGGGGAGUGGAAUCCAGGUGUAGCGGUGAAAUGCGUAGAUAUCUGGAGGAACAUCAGUGGCGAAGGCGGCUCCCUGGCCAAAGACUGACGCUCAUGUGCGAAAGUGUGGGUAGCGAACAGG